GUGAAUCAUCAAAUUUUUGAACGCAAAUUGCGCUUCCUGGCAUCCCGGGAAGUAUGCCUGUUUGAGGGUCAGUAUUAACAAAAAAUCGGUUUGGUUGCAAAUUGUGACGUUCGUCGGAAAUUGGGUCAUCUUAAAUCCUUUUGGUUUUAAGCGACUUAAAAUUUUCUUUUUGGUUCCAUGAACGUUUCUAAGAUUUAUUUCUUUACACGUUUAAGGGUAUCGAUUUUUAUUAGACGUGACCAUCAUAUCGGAUCGCGUCCAUAAUCUUUCAUUAACUGACCUCAGACAGGUAAGAGUACC
rnacentral:misc_RNA from 1 species